rnacentral:lncRNA from 1 species
GUAGUCCCAGCUACUUGGGAGGCUGAGACUGGAGAAUUGGCUGAACCUGGGAGGCGGAGGUUGCAGUGAGCCGAGAUUGCGCCACUGCACUCCAGCCUGGGAGAUGGAGCGAGACUCCAUCUCAAAAAGAAAGGAAGGAGGGAAGGAAGGAAGGAAGGAAGGAAGGAAGGAAGGAAGGAAGGAAGGAAGGAAGGAAGGAAGGAAGGAAGGAAGGAAGGAAGGAAGGAAGGAAGGAAGGAAGGGAAAUAAACUUGCAUGCGGUUAAGGCACUGGAUUGUGAGGGCUAUUUGUUACUGCAAAGUAAUACAACCUAUCCUGAUUCAAGAAUGCAGCAGAAUGGAGUGGAGUGGAUUAGAAAGCAUUCAUCACACAUAGUGAGGCUCAGCCCAGGGCAGCGCACAGUGCAUCGACCACCCUUUCCUGGUUCCACAGACGCUGGGCAUAGAGCCAGUCCUCUAAGCUUUGGCCUCCACCAAGAGUUCAGGCUUUUCCAGCACAAAAGCCAGAGACUAGCAGACGCUGGGUCUGGACUGGAACUACACCACUAGCUUUCCUGGGUCUCCAUCUUGCAGACGGCAGAUUGUAAGACUUCUUGGUCUCCAAAAUCAGGUGAGCCAAUCCCUCAUACAAAUCUCUUCCUGUAAAUCAAUAGGUCCUAUUGUAUUAGGUUGGUGCAAAAGUAAUUGCAGUUUUUGCCAUUACUUUCAAUGGUAAAAACCGCAAUUACUUUAGCACCAACCUAAUAUCUAUUUCUUUGGAGGACCCUGGUAAAUACGAAGUAUUGAGGACAAAAUUAUGCUGGGUCUUAGAAGGCCCUUAUAAGCACUUUAACUUUUACUCUGAAUGAAAUGUGGACCCAUGGGCAGGUUUUGAGGAGAGGGGUGAUCAUGGUCUGAUUUAUGUCAACAACUCAGGAGGGAGGCCACUUAGGAGAGUAUACAGGGAAGAGAUGAUGAGCAGUGCUGUCAACAGAGUGGGUGAAAAGUUGCCAGAUUCAGCACAGAUGUUGAAGGUAUAACGAGCAGGCUUCUCUGAGGGUUUGCAUGUGGGGUGCAAGAGAAGUCAAGAACUUCUCAUGUUUUUGGCUUAAGAUCUGGAUAAAUGGAUUGCAAUGAACUGGGAUAAGGAUAAUCAUUGUUCAGGCAGUUUUGGGGGGAAAGUCAAGAGGGCUCUAGAUGUGGUAAACUUAAGAUUACUACCCAACAUUCCAAGUGAAUAGUAGGUUGAGUAUGCAUUUAGAUAUAUGAAUCUAAGUUCAGGAGACAGGUCUGAAUCCAGGAAUCCAGGGAUUCCCUCUCUUUUUUUCCUGUACUCUGGCUUUAAAUAAUACUUAGGUGCUGGUCAUGCCAAAAUCUGUAGCUCUAGCUCAGCCCUUGUGCCUGACUCUAGAUUCAUAUAGACUGGCCAAUGGUGAGAUGGUAUCUGGAUACCAUCUGAAAUUCAGCAUGGUCAGUGGAGAACUCUUGAUUUUUCCCUCAAACUUCUAACUUCUCUCCCUUCCUUCCUUCCUUCCUUCCUUCCUUUCUUUCUUUCUUUUCUUUCUCUCUCUUUCUUUUUCUUUCUUUUUCUUUCUCUUUCUUUCUUUUUCUUUCUUUCCUUCUUUGUUUCUUUCUUUCUCUUUCUUUCUUUCUUUCUUUC